rnacentral:rRNA from 1 species
GACGAACGCUGGCGGCGUGCCUAAUACAUGCAAGUCGAGCGAAGUUUUUCUGGUGCUUGCACUAGAAAAACUUAGCGGCGAACGGGUGAGUAACACGUAAAGAACCUGCCUCAUAGACUGGGACAACUAUUGGAAACGAUAGCUAAUACCGGAUAACAGUAUUUCUCGCAUGAGAGAUAUUUAAAAGUUGGUUAUGCUAACACUAUGAGAUGGCUUUGCGGUGCAUUAGCUAGUUGGUGGGGUAAAGGCCCACCAAGGCGACGAUGCAUAGCCGACCUGAGAGGGUGAUCGGCCACACUGGGACUGAGACACGGCCCAGACUCCUACGGGAGGCAGCAGUAGGGAAUCUUCCGCAAUGGGCGAAAGCCUGACGGAGCAACGCCGCGUGAGUGAAGAAGGAUUUCGGUUCGUAAAGCUCUGCUGUUAGGGAAGAAUGGAUAUGUAGUAACUAUACACGUAAGAGACGGUACCUAACCAGAAAGCCACGGCUAACUACGUG